GACGGACACUGAAUACCAGAUUCUGUGCUAAAUGCUUUGCAUGCAUCUUAUUCAGUCCCUACAACAACCUUAGGAGCAUAAGUCCACUUCUAAGAGUCUUACAAAAUGAAAAAAGGGGGAGAACACAUCAGGGACAGGGCUUCCUGGCAGGAGAUGCAGCCCCAUGUUAAGAACUAGCAUCAUAAAGCCUGGUGUGUUUGGGGUGAACUGAACAUACCUUGGCCUUGACUUGGGCUUCUAGCUCAUUCCCUUACUAAUUGUGGGAACCCAGGCAAGUCUCUUAGCACUGCAGAACCCGCAGUGUGUAUACUGUACAUCUGAGAGGGUUGUUCUAGGGAGUGAAUAAGUCUCUGGCAAGUGCAGCACAGUGCCUAGAACAUAGCAGGUGCUCAGAAAAUAAUGUUUAGAAGUAAUGGGGGUAGUAGUCAAAGUUAUUCUCUGGUACCCUAAAAUAUUCACCUUCUGACUCUGAAACUUUGGAUACGCC
rnacentral:lncRNA from 1 species